rnacentral:rRNA from 1 species
UACGUAGGUGGCGAGCGUUGUCCGGAUUUACUGGGCGUAAAGAGCGCGCAGGCGGUCGUACAAGUCGCGUGUGAAAGCCCCCGGCUCAACUGGGGAGGGUCACGCGAUACUGUUCGACUCGAAGGCAGGAGAGGGAAGUGGAAUUCCCGGUGUAGUGGUGAAAUGCGUAGAUAUCGGGAGGAACACCAGUGGCGAAGGCGACUACCUGGCCUGUUCUUGACGCUGAGGCGCGAAAGCUAGGGGAGCAAACGGG